AUGGCUUCCAAGGCGAUGCUUGUCAUGGCGGUGGCGGCGACGGCGAUCGCCUUCCUCCCCUUGCUCGCCUCCGCCACCGUCCACGUCGUUGGCGACGGCAGCGGGUGGACGCUCGGGUUCGACUACACCACCUGGUCCGAGAGCAACCAGUUCAGGGUCGGCGACGCACUAGUGUUCAAGUACAACAAGGCCAACCAUAACGUGGUGGAGGUGAGCGGGCCGGACUUCAGGGCGUGCAACAGCGCCAAGGGCCUCGGCGCCUGGAACUCCGGCAGCGAUCAGGUCCAACUCGCCAGCGCCGGGCGGAGGUGGUUCGUCUGCGCCGUGGGCAACCACUGCGCUAUGGGCAUGAAGCUCAACGUCACCAUCCUCGCCGCCGACGCUCCUUCGCUUGCCCCUGCCCCGGCACCGUCCUCGUCUUCUCACAAUGCAAUCCUCGCCGCCGACGCUCCUUGGCUUGCCCCUGCGCCGGCACCGUCCUCGUCUGCUCACAAUACAAUCCUCGCCGCCAACGCUCCUUGGCUUGCCCCUGCACCGGCACCGGCACCGUCCUCGUCUGCUCACAAUACAAUCCUCGCCGCCGACGCUCCUUGGCUUGCCCCUGCACCUGCACCGGCACCGUCCUCGUCUGCUCACAAUACAAUCCUCGCCGCCGACGCUCCUUGGCUUGCCCCUGCACCGGCACCGUCCUCGUCUGCUCACAAGUCCAGGCGGCCCUUUGUUACCAAGUGGUGA
rnacentral:rRNA from 1 species